GACGAACGCUGGCGGCGUGCUUAACACAUGCAAGUCGAACGGUGAGGCCCUGCUUUUGCUCUGUUCUCGUGUGUCGCACACGUGUGUGUCACGUGAAUAACCUGCCCUUGACUUUGGGAUAUCUUCAUGGAACUCGGGAUCAUACCCCGUAUAAGCUCCUGCUGCAUGUUGGUUUUUGGUAAAUUUCGGCGGUUGUGGAUGGACUCGCGGCUUUUCAGCUUAUUGGUGGGGUAGUGGCUUACCAAGGCUUUGACGGGUAGCCGGCCUGAGAGGGUGACCGGCCACAUUGGGACUGAGAUACGGCCCAGACUGCUACGGGAGGCAGCAGGGGGGAACAUUGCACAAUGCGCGGAAGCCUGAUGCAGCAACGCCGCGUGCGGGAUGACGGCCUUAGGGUUGGAAACCGCUUGAGCCUGUGACGAAGCGUGAGUGACGGUAACGUGUAAAGAAGCACCGGCUAACUACGUG
rnacentral:rRNA from 1 species